CACGUAGUUAGCCGGGGCUUCUUAGUCAGGUACCGUCAUUUUCUUCCCUGCUGAUAGAGCUUUACAUACCGAAAUACUUCAUCGCUCACGCGGCGCCGCUGCAUCAGGGUUUCCCCCAUUGUGCAAUAUUCCCCACUGCUGCCUCCCGUAGGAGUCUGGGCCGUGUCUCAGUCCCAAUGUGGCCGGUCACCCUCUCAGGUCGGCUACUGAUCGUCGGCUUGGUGGGCCGUUACCCCGCCAACUACCUAAUCAGACGCGGGCCCAUCUUACACCACCGGAGUUUUUACCACUGUACCAUGCAGUACCGUGGUCUUAUGCGGUAUUAGCAGUCAUUUCUAACUGUUAUCCCCCUGUGUAAGGCAGGUUGCCCACGCGUUACUCACCCGUCCGCCGCUCAGUCACAAAAAUCUUCAUCCGAAGAAUCGAAUUAGAGUGCUUCGCUCGACUUGCAUGUGUUAGGCACGCCGCCAGCGUUCAUCCUGAGCCAGGAUCAAACUCU
rnacentral:rRNA from 1 species